UACGUAGGGUGCGAGCGUUGUCCGGAAUUAUUGGGCGUAAAGCGCUCGUAGGCGGUUUGUUGCGUCGGCUGUGAAAUCCCGAGGCUCAACCUCGGGUCUGCAGUCGAUACGAGCAAACUAGAGUGUUGCAGGGGAGACUGGAAUUCCUGGUGUAGCGGUGAAAUGCGCAGAUAUCAGGAGGAACACCGGUGGCGAAGGCGGGUCUCUGGGCAACAACUGACGCUGAGGAGCGAAAGCGUGGGGAGCGAACAGG
rnacentral:rRNA from 1 species